rnacentral:rRNA from 1 species
GACGAACGCUGGCGGCGUGCUUAACACAUGCAAGUCGAACGGUAAGGCCCUUCGGGGUACACGAGUGGCGAACGGGUGAGUAACACGUGGGUGAUCUGCCCUGCACUUCGGGAUAAGCCUGGGAACCUGGGUCUAAUACCGGAUAGGACCACUGCCUGCAUGGGGGGUGGUGGAAAGCUUUUGCGGUGUGGGGUGGGCCCGCGGCCUAUCAGUUUGGUGGUGGGGUGAUGGCCUACCAAGGCGACGACGGGUAGCCGGGCUGAGAGGGUGGCCGGCCACACUGGGACUGAGAUACGGCCCAGACUCCUACGGGAGGCAGCAGUGGGGAAUAUUGCACAAUGGGCGCAAGCCUGAUGCAGCGACGCCGCGUGAGGGAUGACGGCCUUCGGGUUGUAAACCUCUUUCAGCACCGACGAAGCGCAAGUGACGGUAGGUGCAGAAGAAGGACCGGCCAACUACGUGCCAGCCGCCGCGGUAA